GACGAACGCUGGCGGCGUGCUUAACACAUGCAAGUCGAACGAAGUGGCGAACGGGUGAGUAAUACGUGGGUAACCUGCCCUCCUUUUUGGGAUAAGCCUUGGAAACGGGGUCUAAUACCGAAUUAAGGGGGAUGGCCUCGCGUCCCAUGAGCUAGUUGGAGAGGUAACGGCUCACCAAGGCGAAGAUGGGUAGCCGGCCUGAGAGGGUGAUCGGCCACAAGGGGACUGAAACACGGCCCUUACUCCUACGGGAGGCAGCAGGGGGGAAUAUUGUACAAUGGGCGAAGGCCUGAUCCAGCCAUGCCGCGUGUCUGAAGAAGGCCUUCGGGUUGUAAAGGACUUUUGUUAGGGAAGCGGUAACUAAAGAAUAAGCACCGGCUAACUACGUGCCAGCAGCCGCGGUAAUUG
rnacentral:rRNA from 1 species